GAUGAAGAACGCAGCGAAAUGCGAUACGUAAUGUGAAUUGCAGAAUUCAGUGAAUCAUCGAGUCUUUGAACGCACAUUGCGCCCCCUGGUAUUCCGGGGGGCAUGCCUGUCCGAGCGUCAUUGCUGCCCUCAAGCACGGCUUGUGUGUUGGGCCUCCGUCCUCCUCCCGGGGGACGGGCCCGAAAGGCAGCGGCGGCACCGCGUCCGGUCCUCGAGCGUAUGGGGCUUCGUCACCCGCUCUUGUAGGCCCGGCCGGCGCUUGCCGACACAUCAAUCUUUUUUCCAGGUUGACCUCGGAUCAGGUAGGGAUACCCGCUGAACUUAAGCAUAUCAAUAAGCGGUGGA
rnacentral:misc_RNA from 1 species